GGGCAGCAGCCAGGAAGCCACUGGUGGGAGUCUGUUGUCACUGAGCACGGAGCUGCAAGGACAGUUGCAGAAUUUCCUCCCUCUCCUGUGGCAAAGCUCUUGGGUUCCCGGCCGUGCAUUUGGAGGAGGCAGGCCCUCGGGCAGGCAUUGCCACAGUAUGGGCACAAGGAGGGGGCACCUUGCUUAGGAUACAGCACAGAGCUCAGAGGAGCGGGAAGUGCAAGAUCCUGGUUCCUGCAGGAGGGACUGCCCAGGGGCUGAGCCCAGUCCCUCUGCGGUCUACCUACCUCCCUGCAUCCUCCCCUCCUCCCCCCUCCACAGGAAAUCCACAGAUGAACAUGACACGGUUCUUGCCCCACACAUGCCCUGUUGUAAUCUAACCCUUAGCAGGAUGAGGUGGGGGUCAGAGGAGUCAAGAAGACGUGGAAGGUAAAGAUGGUGACCAAGUCAUGAGCUCUGGGGUGAGGCAGUCCCUGGCCUUCAAGAGACAUCUUUGAAUCUUAGGUGACGCAAAGAAUCAAAGGGAUGAAGAAAAAGCCAUCAAACCCUGGAGCAGGAGCCAGAAGGAGGGAAACGCUUCACAGAGCUCAAGUUGGGAGAACUGGCACAGUGCUGUGUGGACUUCCAGCUUCCAAAACUGUGCACUAGACGGCUUUAUUGUGGGCGUGAGAAAGGGGCUGAUGAAGCUGGGAAAUGUUGUCUUUAGCUGGGUGGUCAUGAGUCCAGCUGCGCCUCGGCGACGCCAUCAGGAACGGAAAGGAGGGAAAUGGACUCUGGAGACAUCAGCAGUCUCUGCCACACUAGAUCAAGAAAAAUAAAGGCACGGCGUUGCUGGUGGGGUUUGCAUUCCCUAUAGGAUACCAAAACAGAAUGAUAACAUGCCCAAAUUCAGUAGAUGUCCUUCCUCAAAUGUUUAUUGAUCCUGAAAUUAUAUCAGGUUCUACUUGAGUGCCUUUUACAGAUAGAUAAACUGAGGCUCAGAGUACUUGAGUGAGUAGUCUGAGAGCCCAGUGGAAGACAGUAGAAAGGCCUCCUGCUCCUCAUCACCUCUCCUUGUCUGCAUGUUCCCCUAGUUUCUUCUUCAGCUGGGGGGCUGGAUUUUGUCAUCUGCUAAACUGGCUGGGUGUGGUAGUUAACUCAUUGUGUUAAUUUGAGAAAGAAAUGUCCAACUAAAUUGGCUCAGCAUAUCUCUGGGUGUGAGAGAUUCACCUUAGGUAGCCCUGUUGCCCGAAUAGUAUAAAAGGGAAACAGAAGGAAGGCUGGCUUCUAGUUCUUCAGAGGAGCUCCAGCCUUCGUCUUCACCUUGGAGAUGGUCUCCUGGCUUCCAGCACAGACUCUUCGACCUCCGGCCCAGACCAUUUUGGCCUCAUGAUAUGGAUUCACAGUGAGCUCCGGGCCAGAUCCUUCAACUGGAUCCUUCAGAUCUCCAGCACAGAUUGACCUUUUGCACUCUUCCAUAUCCAACUUUGUCGGCAGUCAUUGUAAGCCAGUCUUGUAAAUUCUUAUAUAUUUGUAUAUCUUGCAUUAAAUCCAUUUCUCUAGUAAGCACUGAUGCACUGAGUUUUGGGAAAACAGAAUGUGGACAUGUUUUUCAAUAUGGAGAAUUUAAUACAGGGGAUUGGUUGAAGAGAUCUUGGAAGACUGAGAAAAGCAAAAGAGGAUAUUGAGGCAACCAGCUAGGAACUGCAUUUAGAAGCCACCACUUUUGUGACUAUGAGAAGAGGAGGAAGAAAUUUGAGUGAUCACAACCCAGAAACUUGGAGGACAAGGACCCCUUGGUACCUGGGACCCAGGACUUCAGAUCUUUGGGUGGGAAUGAGUUGACACUGGCCAUGGGAAUGUGGAAAAGACAAGAAAUUGAAAUUCACCUUGGGACCACAGUUGAGCAGUUGGCUACAGCCAGCAAAUAUGAAGGAGCAAGACCCUUCCUCCUGUCCAAUACCUCCAGCCUUCUUCUGCCCCCCGCCAUUGACAGAAGCUAACGGGAUUCAGACGGGAAUAUUCGUAUGUUGAAUAUGAAUGUGAUUUGGAAUCACAGCCCUGGCACCAUACAGCAGAGUACAGAAGGUAGGUCCAGAGCCAAGAGGAGAUAAUUUAACAACCAGCCAGAGGUUCUGACUGCAUAUAGACUCCAGUCCUCCACAGACCUGAAGCUAUUGUCUCUGACCCAGUGUGAACCCGGUAUCCUGAGCCCCUGCCUUCUGAUUGGCUAGUAGGAACCACCUAGAGUGGUUUAGAUAAGAAAUGGCCCCCAGAGUCUCAAGUGUUCAGAGGUGGGGUCUUCAGGAGGGCUCUAACUUUGUCACUAGAUGAAUCCUUUGAUGAGGUCAUAGUGUAAUGUCAUUAUGCAGAAGUGAAGCAAAUUUACAAGAUGGGGCCUCACUGAAGGGAGAGCGGCAUGGAGAUGUGACCUCAGGGCCUGUAUCUUACAGCUGGCCCCUUCCUCUCUGGCUCCAUGCUCUCUCUGCUUCCUGGCUGCCGUGAGGUGAGCAGCUCUCCUCUGCUCUGCCCUUCUACCCUGAUGCUUUUGCCUUGGAACCAGCUGACCAUGGACUGACACCUCGGAAACUGUAAGCCAAGAUAAGACUCCUUCCUUUAAAUUGUUUCCAUGGGUAUUUGCUGCAAGGACAGAGAGCUGGCUAACAUAAGAGGCAAAAUGGUGUGCCAUCACUUAGGAAGUACUUUUCUUAUAAAGUUAAAUAUGCAUGUGUUAUACAAAUCCAGCAGCCCUCGCUUAGAUAUUUAUCCAGAAGAAAAGAAAGCACCUGCCCAUGCCAUCAUGUGUACUUGAAAGUUUCUAGCAGUUUUGCUUCCGCUCCAAACUAGAAACAACUCCAAUGUCCAGGAACUUGUGAGUAAAUAACAGGCUGUGGUAUAGCCAUAAAAUAAUACUCUUUGGCAAUAAAAUGAAGGAAUUGCUGAUGUCCACCUCAACACUGAUGAAUUUCAACAGCAUUAUACUAUGUGCAAAAAAUCCAGGCAGAAGAAAUUACCUACUCUGUUUGUAUGACAUUUUGGGAAGGACAACACAGAGUGCUAGAAAGCAGGUCAGUGGCUGUCAGGCCUGGAGCUGCAGGCUGCAAAGGAGCACGAGGAAUCCUUGGCAAUCAGAGAAGUGUCUUCCACUGUGAUUAUGGUGGUAGUUACAUAACUGUCAAAAACCAUGGAGUUGCAUAUUUUGAGUCUGGUGAGUUUGUUGACUGUGAAUUAUACUGGAAUAGAUCUGAUUUUUAAAAACCAAAUAAAAUGUUACUAGAAAAGGCACUUCCUCCUCUUGCUGUCAGUGCCACCCACCUCAAGCAGUUCUGCAAAGAGCAGACAAAGGGAUCUUGUAAAAGUCUAAAUCCAACAAUGUCGCUCCUUACUGAAAACACUCGGAAGGUUUCUUUCCUCUUUGAAUGAAGUCCAGAGAACCACACUGGCCUACAAGCCCACUUGCUCUACUUACCCACCCCAACACUUAGAGAGCCCCGAGCAAGUGCAGAAAAAGAGCUCCAGGCACCAUGAUCCUCAUUCUGCACAGUUCCAAGUCAAGCCAAGCAACUGCCAAAAAGCAAGUUGCAACCUCCACUCUUGACAAAUAUAUCUUCAUGACAACCUGGAAGGCCGGGUUCAAACUGAGAGUCUCACGACUCCUUGGAGUCCUGUGCCAGAAGCUGGCAUCAACAGCCAGGUCACAGUCUAUGCCCCCUCUUGUCUUUCCAGCCCAGUCCCAUCUAAAACUAUGAGGCUCCCUGCCAGGCCUCUGUGGAAAAUUGUGUUUGCAGUCCCUGGAGGGGUGUGCUGGAGAUGGAAUCAGGGAGACUGGGUGCUAAAUAUGUUUCUCCAUAAAUAGUACUUGGCUCUAUGUGCAUGCAUUCGUGUAUGUGAGAAUGCACAUAUACAUGCAUGUGUGUGUGCUUAUGUAAGUGUGAAAGCAUAGGUAAGCAUUCAUGUGCAUGUGAAUAUAUGCAUGCAUGUGCAUAUGUGUAUAUAAGCCUGUGUGGCGUAUGUGUUCAUUGCAAUAGCAGCGUGAGCUUCUUGAAGGCAGCUGUAACAUUCUGACUUGCUGCAAAGCAGGUGCGAAGUGAACGCUUGUAUAGUGAAUGAAUGAAGGAAUGCCAGUAUAACAGUUAUUAACAGUGUGGGGUUUCAGAGUCAGCCACAGCAAAGGUCCAAAUGUCAUUCUGACACUAAGUCACUUUGAUUUAGUCUCCUAAUCCCUCAGAGCCUUAAUUUCCUCGUCUCCAGGACAGGGAUAAGCAUAUUACUCAUUUUAUGGAUGUGGUGUGAGGAUUAAGUAACAAUAAUCAAAGCCAACACGUACUGAGCUGGACCUUGGGCCAAGCACUGUUUUAAGGGCUUUGCAAGUGCCAACUCAUGCAGCACCCUGCAGUGUUACGGUGUUGAAUGCUUACACUGAGUGUUUGAAUGCUCACUGCAUCGUGGUUGUUGUCAUAUUUAUGAUCAAAGGAGAGGAAGGUCAGCAUCCCAAGCCCGGGAGCAUCUUCUCCUGAGUUCUUUUCAGGCUCCGACUGAUGGAGUUUCUGGGGGACACACUGGGUUCCAGCAGGCAACCACCCUCUUGGCCCCCUCAAGGAUAUCGACCCUGGGCUCUGCCGGUCCUUCGUGCUUAGACUUCCGGGAGCCUGGCUGCUGAGUCGCGGCGCCCCCUGGUGUUCAGUUUUCAUCAACACUGAAUUGUAUCGAGUUAUCCACAAGAGUAGUGGGCAAGAGUGGAUGACAGAUACAGGACAGCAGCUGACAAGGCAGCAGGCAUCUGCUGGUCCCGGAAUGAGCUUCUGGCCACUCCAGGUCCCGCGGCUACAGCCCUGGGCCCUGACCUCUGUCCCCCCAGAGGCAGUUUCUUCACCCCCAAAUGGGGGCUAUCUCUCACCUGUGCACCCCGGCAUCUCCAUGAGGAAGGGUUUUUUUGUUUAUUUUUUUAUUUUGUUUUUUUUUUUUUUUCCGGUACCAGGAGUCGAACUCAUGACCUUGCGCUUGCUAGGCAGGCACUGUGCUGUCCAUGAGGAAGGUUUGCAAAAUGCUUUGCUUCCUGUAACCUGCACAUCCAUUCCCUGUUCCGGGAGCAUAGCCAGCCUUCCCCUGGCGAGAAGGUUAUGAAUGAACAUCGUUUCGUACAGUUUGGUCCUGCAGAGAUGCCCCUUCCUCUAGUAUUUACUUUUGAGUUCUUGAGUCUAUUUUUUUUCAGCAUUCCAUCCUUUCUGCCACUGUCAGACUGUCACUUAACUGUUGCCUGCCUCUGACAGCCGCUGGCGGCUCUUCCUCUCCUUCCAGCUCCCUGCUUCAAAUCUCCAAGGUGACGUCUUGGGGUGUGCUCCGGAAGCAGCCUGGCAGGAAGAGAGACGACCGCGGUGCUUUCUUGUGGAAGUCAAACACACAAACUUGUAUGGUGGCCUUGGGGCUCAAACUGAUGGUGUUUUUGUUUGGAUGGAGAGGAGGUUGCCGGAAGUCAGGUCUCCAUUUGGGAGAGGUCAAGCCAGGUGUCCUUUUGUACCUGCCCCACAGCAAACACUUGCCAGACAAAUGUGCCAAGAGUUGGCUCCUCUUCUGAAUCAUUCCGCCCCCUGCAGCAGCGACAGCAGCCAGCGGAGGACCUAGCGUGGGAGACCCGGAAAGGGAUAAGGGAGCAGGCCGGGAACCGCCACAGCAGCAGCAGGACGGCCGCCCACUGCUGACAGAGUGUCUGGUCUCAAAUUACACCAUAUCAGAGCUCUGGCAUAAAAUUAGCACCAGUGUUCUCUGUGAGAGGAGCCAGAGAAAUACUCAUAUUCAGCAGAACCAUGCAGGGACAGAAGAAAGAGGGAGAAGGGGCCUGGUAGGGGAAGGGACACACUCAUGUCCCUUGCUACAGAAGUGGCUGCCCCGGGGCUGAAUCAGGGUCACAGGAGGGCUCAGUGGUGUUGGACUAAGGGGAGGCAAGAGCUAGGGAGACCUGGAGUCAUGAACUUGAGAGCUCGUCUCGCCUGAAACACACACACACACACACACACACACACACACACAUACGCAUACACACCCUAGAACUGAGGAAACAUGAAUAGGAAAUGUCCAAGGGUCUUGAUAUGCUUCGUAUACAUUUUUCUCAUUAAUUUUUACCACAAUCCCACUAAGUAAGCCUGUCUUUGCAGAUGAAUAAAGAAAGAUUCAAAGAAA